UAAUUGAUGAAUGUAUUAUAGUUGGAUAUUUACAAAAUUCACAAUUUUAUCUUUCCAUUGAUAUGCAGAAGUCUAUGUAACAAGCCUCCAUUUUAUUUUUUUAUAGGGGUCAGUUUUGCUUGUCCCUCACCAAGUAACGUCCUGAUAACGUCAUACAUAAAACUGUGUUUUGCACCCUUAAGGAGUAGCAUUUGAUGACAUUUCCCACAUUUAUUUGCCUGGGUCAGUUUUGCUUGUCCCUCACCAAGUAACGUCCUGAUAACGUCAUACAUAAAACUGUGUUUUGCACCCUUAAGGAGUAGCAUUUGAUGACAUUUCCCACAUUUAUUUGCCUGGGUCAGUUUUGCUUGUCCCUCACCAAGUAACGUCCUGAUAACGUCAUACAUAAAACUGUGUUUUGCACCCUUAAGGAGUAGCAUUUGAUGACAUUUCCCACAUUUAUUUGCCUGGGUCAGUUUUGCUUGUCCCUCACCAAGUAACGUCCUGAUAACGUCAUACAUAAAACUGUGUUUUGCACCCUUAAGGAGUAGCAUUUGAUGACAUUUCCCACAUUUAUUUGCCUGGGUCAGUUUUGCUUGUCCCUCACCAAGUAACGUCCUGAUAACGUCAUACAUAAAACUGUGUUUUGCACCCUUAAGGAGUAGCAUUUGAUGACAUUUCCCACAUUUAUUUGCCUGUAAGUUCAUAGAAAAUUGCUUUAUUUGUUUUAAUUUAUGUAGUAAACCAUACAAUAUAAUCUCAGGUUGACACUGUGUAAGGCAUAAUGCCUAUUAGAUACAUGUUCCAUAGAAUUUAUACAUAUGAUAAGGAUUCAGGGGCUAAAGUUGUUAUUUUACAUUAUGACGCAACUGCAUUGUGACAUCAAAGUGUGACGUCAUGUCAAAAAUGGCAGCUUCGCA